rnacentral:rRNA from 1 species
GACGAACGCUGGCGGCGUGCUUAACACAUGCAAGUCGAGCGGUAAGGCCCUUUCGGGGGUACACGAGCGGCGAACGGGUGAGUAACACGUGGGUGACCUGCCCUCAGCUCUGGGAUAAGCCUGGGAAACUGGGUCUAAUACUGGAUAUGACUCCACGGUGCAUGUCGUGGGGUGGAAAGCCUUGUGCGGCUGAGGAUGGGCCCGCGGCCUAUCAGCUUGUUGGUGGGGNGAUGGCCUACCAAGGCGACGACGGGUAGCCGGCCUGAGAGGGCGACCGGCCACACUGGGACUGAGACACGGCCCAGACUCCUACGGGAGGCAGCAGUGGGGAAUCUUGCGCAAUGGGCGAAAGCCUGACGCAGCGACGCCGCGUGAGGGAUGACGGCCUGG